AACGGCGAGUGAAGCGGCAACAGCUCAAAUUUGAAAUCUGGCCUCGGCCCGAGUUGUAAUUUGCAGAGGAUGCUUCUGGCGCGGUGCCUUCCGAGUUCCCUGGAACGGGACGCCACAGAGGGUGAGAGCCCCGUAUGGUCGGACACCAAGCCUGUGUGAAGCUCCUUCGACGAGUCGAGUAGUUUGGGAAUGCUGCUCUAAAUGGGAGGUAAAUCUCUUCUAAAGCUAAAUACCGGCCAGAGACCGAUAGCGCACAAGUAGAGUGAUCGAAAGAUGAAAAGCACCUUGAAAAGGGGGUUAAAUAGUACGUGAAAUUGUUGAAAGGGAAGCGUUUAUGACCAGACUUGCGCCGGGCGGCUCAUCAGGGGUUCUCCCCUGUGCAUUCCGCCCGGCUCAGGCCAGCAUCGGUUCCCGUGGGGGGACAAGACCGCCGGGAACGUAGCACCCUCCGGGGUGUGUUAUAGCCCGGCGGACGAUACCCUCGUGGGGACCGAGGUUCGCGCUCCGCAAGGAUGCUGGCGUAAUGGUCAUCAGCGACCCGUCUUGAAACACGGACCAAGGAGUCGUCCAUUAGAGCGAGCGUUUGGGUGUAAAACCCGCACGCGUAAUGAAAGUGAACGCAGGUGAGAGCUUCGGCGCAUCAUCGACCGAUCCUGAUGUCCUCGGAAGGAUUUGAGUAAGAGUUUUAACGGACGGACCCGAAAGACAGUGAACUAUGCUUGUAUAGGGUGAAGCCAGAGGAAACUCUGGUGGAGGCUCGCAGCGGUUCUGACGUGCAAAUCGAUCGUCAAAUAUGAGCAUGGGGGCGAAAGACUAAUCGAACU
rnacentral:rRNA from 1 species